GAUUCAAAUUAACAACCAUGCAUUUUGUUUUUAUCUCCUGCUACAGAAUUCCUUGUCAGGACAUCACUGAACUGAAAGGACAGAAGAUAAAAGCUCUACGAAAAGGGAGCAGAGUCAUGAUUUUUAGCCUUUGGGACCAGCUGCACUCCACUAUUUCCUUUUUACAGGAAGUGAAAGCACAAAUUAGAUUUGUGCAGGAUUGUUGCCUACCUGUCCUGAGGAGUGUACACCUGUUAGAGAGCAGUGGGCAUAAUCUACAACAAGGAAGAAAGUCACAGACAAAGAGUAAAGUUUAUUCUAGGGAAGUUGUGGUUGGAGGAGGAAGGAAGAAGGGAGAACUGAGACUGAGAAGGAAACAGGCUCCUAUUAUCAGUGUCAGUGAGCAGACUUGGCUCUUGCAUGGUCGUCAGGUGCUGCCAAGAAAAUUCUAGCUGGCCUCACUCUGGAGCAUGGUCAGUGCAAAUGAAAUGUAUUAUUUACUGUAAAGCUGUCUUUUCUAAGCAUAUGAUGACUGUAUUUUUAAAUGCAGAUAAUUUAGGCAGACUUCUACAGGCAGGACUGUAGCACGUGCUUCCUGUAAGAACAUUCCUUGCUAUAUUUUAGUUGCCUGCUUGAAAGCACAGAAUUUCUAUAGCUUUUCAGUUAAUAGCUCGUAAGAAUUUCAUUUAAUAUUAGGGAACAGCACACUUUCUUUAAGCUGUUUUUGCUAAAAUCAAGACAAAA
rnacentral:lncRNA from 1 species